AUGCCAUUUCCUCUUCAGAGCUCUUGAUUCCACUAUACAUUGCCAAGAACUACUUUCAGCCCCCUUGACUAUUGUGCAUUGAUGUUACCAGCCUUGGCCAAGAAAACUUCUGGAAUUGAGUCUGCAGUUAGCCAACAUUAGCCAUUCUAGAUAGGCUAUCCUCAUUCUUUUUUAUGUGUUAUUAUUCAAACUCAAAAGACUGCAGAUUUCUUUAUGAGUUUUAAAUCCCCUGUAAGGUACUGUCUGUGGCCUGCAGUCAGGAAGAAUGACAUACAAAAUGUGAAAGUCAUCAGUCUAUUUCCUUCUUUCAGUAUAUUUGACUUGUGGACAGUAAGCAGCCUGGUUCCAAUUGAAGACCACCAUGGCAUGGGUCCUGCCCUACUGAAAUGGCAAAAGUACCAAGUGGCAGCAGCUUGGUGGUACGGUAAACACUAAGAGAAGAGCCUAGGAAUGGCAAGAUAUUCACCAAACUCUAAUUUUGUCCAUGAUUAAUUCUAAUGUUUCACACAAAAUUUUGCCACAU